GGGAGGGCGGGGCCGGGGCGGGGCCGGGGCGGCUGGCGCGCCGGGCGCGAGCCGCCGGGGAAGAGGGAGGGGCCGGCCGAGGUGGGCGUGGCUGCCCAGCCUCGCGGCCUUUGCAGCCUGGAGACCGCAGCCCGCCGGCGCCCCGCUCGCACUGCCGCCGCCGCCUCUUGCGGCAGUUGCGGGGUGCGGCGCCGGUGCCAACCUCUUGCAGAGCUGGGCGCCUCGCGCAGGCGCGCUCCCCGCGCCGCCGGAAGUGACGGUUCCGGCCCGUGUCACGUGGAAAAGGAAUGGGGGGACAUCGUGGUGGGGGCUGGGGAUAGGAGUGGAGUCUGGGGUCCGGGUUAGGAACAGGAGGUGGUGCAAACGCGGAUCGGCGGGGCUGCUCGGUUCGGGAUUGUGUGUGUCGCUCUGGGGGUCUUGAAAUGCCGCCAGCGACUUGUCCCACUCGCGGAAACGUCCCGCUUCGAGCCCGUUUUCCAGACUCUGUCCCGAGAGGAUCGGUUUUCCGGGCGCCCCGGAGCGUGGGCGGAGGAGCAACACGGAGCUCGCAGGUUCCCGUAAGACGACUUGCAAAGCCCAGGUGUUCUCGCACUGUACCGGAUGUUUGCUCUCGGAAGCGUUCUGCGGUUCAAGAAUUGCUUAGAAGAGAGCUUUAAAGGCCUUCUGUGUGCCAUGUAGGAGCCGUGCGGUUGUGUUCAGAGCAGGUUCUUUCUUCCUCUCUGCUGUUUGAAGAGAAGCUGUUUCUCCGACAUGAAGCAAGGCUCCAGAUUUAGGCAUUUCUGCUGCAUAACCCACUAAACUGCCAUUCUUCAUCUAAAGACCUGACCUUUAGAGAACAUUCCAGCUCUGGAAGUCGGAUUAUAUGUCAGAGGAUUGAUGUGCUGUGGCACUUGGGAGUUUCCAUUUAGAAAUGAGCUGGCCAUGUUCCUGAGUGUGAGGAGUCACUGCAGCCUUACUCCUUCAACAGUUAGUUGUGUUUUUCAGGCGGAAGAAUGGAGAAACUUAGUCAUUUCAUGUGAUACAGAGCUGGACUCAGCUUAACAAGCCGUUUGGGCCUUAUACAGCUUAACUUUAGCCUCACCAGAACACCAGAAUAAAGUCUAUAAUCAUUGUUUUGGUUAGGAAAAAUCACUUCCUUGAAUCCACAUAGCCUAACUUGGGAUUUUGAAAGUUAAUGUCUAGGACCCUGCUGAAAACUGGACACCACCAAGGCACCUGCUGGGUUGUCAACACAUAGGAGAUUUUAAUGUACUCUGAUCACAAUGGAUUAUUCUGUAACAGAUGAUAAAUAUGUUGUUUAAAAUACCCCCGUCAUACUAAUAAAUAUGCCAAACAUUUAUAAAGACUUUUAGCAAAGACCAAAAAGCAUUGAUACCUGUCAGGCAGCUCUCUUGGUAAAUUUGUGAGUUUAAAAUGUGUCUUUUUUAAGCCAGUUUGUAAGCAAAAUUGACAUGGCUGGGAAGGAUGUUCAGUCUGUAAAGUGGCUACCCCAUAAGCAUGAGGAUAUGGGUUUAGAUCCCCAGAACUCAUGCAAAAAGCUGGGGUGGUAAUGUAAGCCUGUAACAGCAGCCCUGGUGGGAUGGAGACAGGUGGGUCCCUGAAGGUCUUUGUUCACCCAGCAUAACUGAAUCACAGAUCUUCAGGCUCAUUGAGAGAGCUUGUCUCAGAUACUAAAAAAUGGGGGCCAGCAGGAUAAAGGCUCAGUGGAUAAAGGUGCUUGUAUGCAAGCCUGACAAACAGAUCAGUCUCUGGAAUCUACAUGCUACAGAGAGUGAACCAGCUCCUACAAGUUGUCCUCUGACUAUACACACACACACACAUAUUCCUAAUACAGAAAUGUUUGAAAAUGUUUUUUUAAUUAAAAGGUAGUGAAGCCAUUGAGAUGGCUCAGCAUAAGCCUGGUGACAUAAAAAUGUAUAUACUGCUAAAAGAUAUAUCUGAGAAAGGUUUAAGAUAUCAAAGUGCUCACAGGUCUUAACGGGAAAAAAUAUGACAAUGGCACAUUUAGCAUGAAAUGUAUUUCUGUAAUGGAGCUUCUCAUGUAGCUGACCUGCUUACCACUGGAGCUGGCAGUGUGAACCUGGGAGAGCAGGCCUAAAAAUGAGAGGGACUAAAGUCUCACGCAAUAGCCAACUUUAUCAGAGCAUCAGGCAAUUUCUACUCUGAGGACACAUGAAUAACAACAGCUGAAGUAAACUCACUCCUAUCCCCUAUACCUGGGAGGAGCGUGAAAACACAUUCCAAGAACAAUGCUGUGUUUUGAAGAAACUGGGAUCGCAAGAUUCCUGUCUUAUUUUCUUGGAGUUUUCUCACAAGCACUCAGAAUUCCCCUCACAUGACUCUAUUCCUGAACUAUGUUCCAACACUGACCGUGUUAUUUUGGGGGAGGGGGAGUUAAUUAUUGCUGCGUGUGUAUAGAUGUUUUGUCUACGUGUAUGUCUGAGCACCAUUUACAUGCCUGGUGGCCAGAGACCAGAAAAGGAUGUUGGACCCCCCUGGAACUGGAAUUACACACAGUUGUGAGCAGUCAGGUAGAUGCUGAAAAUUGAACCCUGUUCCGCUGGAAGAAUGCUCUUAAACACUGAGCCAUCUCUCCAGUUUCCUGCCCAUGCUUUUAAGAACAAUUCUAAGGGGUGAACAACUUCACGCCACAUGCCUGACUUGUUAGUGGUAGGAAAGUUCUGCCACCAUGCUGUAUGAACCUUUUCCUUACUCUGUUAUCAGCCAUAACUCCCAGGGAGACAUGAGUCCUAAGAUGUAACUAUAGCCACAUGCUGCCCUUUUCCUUGGUAGUCUUGCCUCCUCCUGUGACCUAGGUAGUGCACGAGUGAUGUAGCCCAGCUAUUCUACAGUGAUUUGUGUUCAUUAACUCAGUAAGUCUUCAUGACAAUGCCAUAAGAUAGACUCAAUUAUUGCCCAUAAUAUGCAGAUGAGAACACUGAUACAUACAGGAGUAGGCCACGUGCCUCAGGUCCUUGUGACUUGUAACAAGACUCCAAAUCAGAUCAUUUUGACUAUCAUUUGUGUCUCCUUGAAAACACAAAAUAUGUAGCAUGAUGACUGCAUUUUUGAAACAAGAAGGUACCUCCUACUCUGGCCAUGCACACAACACGAGUGUCCUGUCACAACUCAGGGAGUGAGAUUAUUUUUAGUUUCCCAUUAGCUAGAUACUUAUUUAACAAAUAGUUGCUGUGUAUCUUCAAUGGCUGAUUGUUAUUUAGAUUAUGUUGAAUAAUCUAAAUUCAGAUUUCAUAGUUUGCAUUCUUAGAAUAUAAAUAUGUACAGAACCGUCUAAUAGAGAUGGGCAAAUUGGCCUGUAAGGAUGUAUAUUAGGCAUGAAGGCACACUUAGAAUACUAGAACUCAGGUUUCUGAGGCAGGAGGAUAGAAAGGAAGAGAGGGGGUGGGGGAGGGAGGAAGCUUCUCCUGGCUUUGGAAACAAUUAAGCUCUUCCCGUGGAAAAGUUUUGAAUUCUGCCCCACUGUGCUGAAUCUACUCAUUCAUGCACUCACAUAGAUAUACACACAAGUCUACUCGAGGGUUUGACACCAAAUUCAGCUUUUGUUUCAGUCUUUUUGUCAGAAUCCACGCCUUACAGUAACCAAGCUUCUGUCCACUCUUAUAUAACUUUAUGGGUCUGAACCAUUUGUUAGGUGUUAUGCCAACUGAUCCACAAUAAGAAUCCUACAGUAUGUCAGGAGUCACAUGGUGGCCACAAGUGUAGCUCGGCAGCUAGAAAGUGGGUGCCAUGUGCCAGACUCGUGGAUUCAAUACCCAGCACUGAAGAAAAAGACUAGGAGGUUGAGGAGGGAAAGAGGAUGAAGGGAAAGUACUCCAGCCUGCUCUCGUGGUUUGCUUAGCACUCUGUUACUUCCUUAGUCCUCUAACAAAAAAAGUAGCACUCAGCAGCCCCCACCUUUCAGCAAUUUCACUCACUCCAGCCAGCCUUGAGUCACUUUGAUUUCUUACCAAGCCCUUUCAGGGUCCAGGGUUCACUCAGGCUAAACAUUUUUGUUUUCAGCCACCUGCCUCAGUAGUGACAACAUGGAAUUACAAAGCUAACUUUCCUGUGAGCACUCUCCUGACCUCUGCCACCUUGCAGUCCCAGCACCGGACCUACUUCUUUGGACAGAUAACAAAGGUGUUUACUGAAACAGCGCCUGCUUGAUGUUCACUGAUAAAGUAGUCCUGAGUCAGCCUCUGAAGAUAAAAGGGCAAUCUUGCACUCUCAGUAACCUCAGUUUGGCAAGGAAAAGGAAUUUAUAUGUUCUUCACAUUUUAUUAAAACAUCCUUUCAUUCUCAUGCAAGUAUAUUAUCUGUUGAGUUCCCAUGUUGGACCCAUAUUUUAGGUAAGCGUGUUUACUGUGGUCUCAAAAUUUAUGAAUUUA
ensembl:lncRNA